CUUUCCCACUUCACUUUGAUGAUUGCAUAGCUCUCUCCUUUACUCUCAGUAGUAAGCUCUGUGGUCCUUUCUGCAACAGCAUCUCCAGAUGCCCCAGAAGCCUAUCCUAUGGGGUCUUCAGUGCACCUUUGGUCCCCUACAUGGGAGCCUCCCGGCCCACUAUGUCUCUGCACCCAGUCGGUCCCCAGAUCCUCUCAUCCCCCAAGUAUCACGGAGGAGGGAAGUGUGCUGUGGAAGUCUUUUACAGCGCCUGGCUCCGGGGAACCAGAAUCGCGGCUGUCACCACAGGACUCCUGGAGCAGACCUUUGGAAAGACACUCAGCAUUUUCAAUUUGCUUUUUCACCAAGGAGCCUGGAAAGAGGAGAAAAGGUGUGGCGUCACGGCACAGCACGGCUCCUUCUGUCUGCCUGACUUGCAGCUUUGUGUGCACUCUCGUACUGAAAGCCAGGCCUGUGGUGCUGGCGUCCAGCUGCGUCCUGUUUCCAGUGUCCUGUGCCACGCGUCUCUGUCUGCCCUCCCCCGAGGAGUUAAAGCAGACCACAAAAGCGGGAAGUUUGGUUCCACCCCCUUCACAGUUGCCCCUUAGCUUUCAUCAGGGAGACUGUGGGAAAGUGGAGCUCAGGGACAGGGUCCAGCGUCGGAGACCCCCGGUGUCCUCCCUGGGAUCGAGGUGGAGAUGGUCUCUUGCUUUGAAAGCAGUCACACAUGCUGUGCUCCUUUAGCUAAGAAUACUGGAGAUGGUGGCUCCCAGCACUGGACCUGUGUACUUUUUAUUUGCCUCUACCCCUGUCUUUAUUGCUACAGGCCCUUGCUUCUGUGGGCAGUUUUUUUCACCUGCUUUUUUGGUGUGCUGUCCCCUCUCUCUCCCUCCCUCCCUCCUUCGGUCCAUCCCCCACUCCUUCUCUCUCUCUGUACCCAGCCCCCCAGGUUUUGUAGUUUUGUUUCUCUGCUAAGCUUCAGACUUAGAAUAAAAAAGCAAUCGGUUUACUUGCAGGAGGGAUGGGAAUUAUUUUCUGUGUCUCUGAAACAUUUCCUUGCUCUUUUACUUGAAGAACCGAAGUAUCCAAAGUGUCAUAGCCAUGGAGGAUGGUCUCCUCAGGCUGUGGGAAGGAGGCAGGGGACAUGUCAGAAGGAAGCAUGGUCUGCUUCUUUUUCUACCACAGCAGACGUCUUUGAGUAUGUACUUCUGCCAGUGUGCUGGUUUAGGGGAAGUGAACACAACCCACAGGCCUGUCCUCCGUGGGUGCACUGCAGCCCAGGGCACCCUCCAGACCUG
rnacentral:lncRNA from 1 species